CGCCAGAUGUGGGGGGGCCCUUAGGUAACUAUCUGUAGUCACAAAAGUUACCCGACAUUGAUACCGUCUUGCAGUGUUGCUCCACAAACGUUAACUGUAGGUACCAUAAAGAAUGAAAAGGAUGGUAUGAAAUCAGUUAGAGGGAGCUAGCAUCAGUCCCAUUCCAGUUGCAGGUGUUCAGCCGACUGUCUUAUCUAAGUCUGACAUUUUAUAUUAUAAGAAUAUUGUUUUCACUUUUCUAUGAAUUUAUGUUUCGUAAUGGUUGGUUUUAUAAACUUUUACAAUGAUUUUCCUACUGCAUGAUCUUCCAUCUAUUUUAAAAAUAUUUGGAUCAAAUUUUAUGUUGUAGUUCUGUCCAGCGUCGGCCGUCAGGCAUAGGGUUACCAGAUGACAGGAAUUUUCCUGACAUGUCAGGAAUUUUGGCCUUUUGUCAGGAAUGGGGACGGAACACGAUAAUGUCAGGAAUUUAUUCAUUUGAUAGAAUUUUUUAUAAAGUACCAUUUUAUUUACUUAAAUUAAUGAUAAUAAUAUGAGAUCCAUCCAAUAAUACAUACGCGUUGACGCGACUAUCGGUUCAAUCGGGUGGCCAUCGCUAACGGCUAGACCGCCCCCCCGUCGUCGUCGUCAAAAUUAUGGAUGUCAGGAAAAAUACUCGGAAAUCAGGAAUUUUGUCAGAUAAUUUAAAAAUUGUAUCUAGUAACCCUAGUCAGGCAGGCUACAAUUUUAUUGUAGAGUCAGACCAAGAAAAGUCUGCAGCGGAUUUGAUAGCCCAUGCAGUGCAGGUGUUAUUUUAAACGUCAAAUUCCUAUGAAAAUAUGACGUUUGUAACGACACUUUCACACUUUUUUCUAUUCAAAUCCGUGCAAACUUAGCUUAGACGGACGCUAUCUAAUAUGGCGGCGGGCGUCAAACUCGUUGAUUUAAUUGAAUUUCUUAAUAUUUUCGCAUUUGGGACCUAUUGGCCUUUAUUUUUUUUAUGAAACCCUUCGCGCGUAAAAGUUUAUAACAUCAAUAUUCUCUGGCCUUUUUAUAUUAAUGAACCAUACAUGCAUUAGUUGUAGUUUUAUACUUGUAGAAUGAAAUUGUUUAUAUCUUUAAUAUAUACCUGUUGAUAAUAAUGUGAAAUAAUAUCUGUAGUAAUUAAUGAAUAUAGAAUUUGUUAUAAUUUA